ACAGAGCGCCGGAUGCCGGAAAGUUGGUCAAACUUGAUCAUUUAGAGGAAGUAAAAGUCGUAACAAGGUUUCCGUAGGUGAACCUGCGGAAGGAUCAUUACCGAUACCGUCCAAGAAAAAACAACUCUGCGUUGUUUUUUUGCCCUGUGAACUGUACCCAAUCGUUUAGGGGUCGGCCUGGCCGUUAAAUGGCGAGCGGACGCGAGGCAAUGCCCGCGGCCGGCCUCGCCAGCCCCGCCUGUGUAUUUUUUUUAACGUACGUGUCUACGGUCUGAUGUUGCGGCCUGACGAGGGCCGAGAGUUGCAAAUGCGAGAGACAACUUUUGACGGUGGAUCUCUUGGCUCACGCAUCGAUGAAGAACGCAGCCAGCUGCGAUAAGUAGUGUGAAUUGCAGAAUUCAGUGAAUCAUCGAAUCUUUGAACGCAAAUGGCGCUCUUGGGUUCUCCCAGGAGCAUGUCUGUCUGAGUGUCGGAUAUCAUCCAUCGCAAGCACGAUGCGCCAGCCCGUGCUCGCGGCGUUGAGGCGUCACGGCCGCCGCACAGUGUCGGCCGUGUCCCUUGAAAGGCAGAGAGACUCGCCGCGGUCCGUGGGUAUCUUGAUUCCCGCGGCGCACCAGCGGAGGCCAAAAGUGUUGGCAGUCCUUCGCGCGCCGCCGGGGCCCCGCCGCGCGAGUCGUCCAGGCGAGACAUCUAUCUAUCUUUCUUGACCUCAGAU
rnacentral:sRNA from 1 species